UGCCCCCUCCCCUUUCUCUCGAUAUCGGCGUUCGACACGGUGGUGCAGGUAAUGUGGCCAAUAUCUCCUAGCGCGUUUUGUUUGGACAUGCGUGUGUUUUAAUGUGAUACCUGAAGUCAACGGGUUAAUCACUGUGACUCGUGUUUGGUCGGACUGCCUACUCUCAGUACUACCGUCUCUCUAUCGCCGUAUGCCUGGGUCAGCUGUAUGUUGGUAUGGCAGUUGGCUGUAUGUUCUGGCUUGUUGUUAGCAUUUAUGCUUUGCUGCUAGCGCAGCCGGUAUUUUGAUUCAUCAUUAGUUUGAGACUGCCGGUUUUUAUCUUCGUAAUUUGGAGUGUUCCUGCUGGGCUUGUAAACUGACCAUCAGUACCCAGAAACACGCUGCUGUCUUGUUCCCAUUUAAUUUACUUAUAUUUUGCGUUAUAUUAGUAAUUGCUUCCCAUGUUAGCUUUCCUUGAGCUCUUCACUGGAUGGUUCAGUCGGGUGCUUCCAGCAGUGGACUACAAGGACUUUUGCAGCUCUUGUAUACCUCCUGUUGAAGGCCUGGUGGUCCUAUUCGUCUGAUUGCUUGGUGGAUGGCUACUUUUCCUUUUUUUUGUUAUUUUUGGAGUGUAUUGUCCCGUGUAUGUGGUUUUUGUUUUCUUUUUUUUGUAUACUCUUUUUGAUAUUUCUUCUGUUCUUUUGGAAUUAGUGGUUGUGUGUGUGUCCGGUUGAAGCUGACUGAGUCUAUCUAAUUGCAGGUGCUGUGUCCAACAAAGGCAGGGAGGCAGAUUCUUCGUGUGUGUGGUGCUGGUGUUCACUGUGUGCUGUGUAAAGCCGAUCUUCCACCAUAACUUCACUGGGUAUUGAGUGAGUGUGAAUGUGUGCACUGAUAGCAUGUGGUAACUAGAUAUUGUGCUGCCUUAAGUUUAUACUAGUUGGCCACAGCCCUGUAAUCUUAGGUGGAACAUGUACUGUGAAGAACUGCAGGUACUACUAUUUUAAGUUGCAUUUUGACUUGUCUCUUUUUAAAAGGUGAUUAUUGAAUAAUAAAGCAAAGCAUCUUUUGUA